GACGAACGCUGGCGGCGUGCUUAACACAUGCAAGUCGAACGAAGAGCGACGGAAGCUUGCUUCUAUCAAUCUUAGUGGCGAACGGGUGAGUAACGCGUAAUCAACCUGCCCUUCAGAGGGGGACAACAGUUGGAAACGACUGCUAAUACCGCAUACGAUCUAACCUCGGCAUCGAGGAUAGAUGAAAGGUGGCCUCUACAUGUAAGCUAUCACUGAAGGAGGGGAUUGCGUCUGAUUAGCUAGUUGGAGGGGUAACGGCCCACCAAGGCGAUGAUCAGUAGCCGGUCUGAGAGGAUGAACGGCCGCAUUGGGACUGAGACACGGCCCAGACUCCUACGGGAGGCAGCAGUGGGGAAUCUUCCGCAAUGGACGAAAGUCUGACGGAGCAACGCCGCGUGAGUGAUGACGGCCUUCGGGUUGUAAAGCUCUGUUAAUCGGGACGAAAGGCCUUCUUGCGAAUAGUGAGAAGGAUUGACGGUACCGGAAUAGAAAGCCACGGCUAACUACGUG
rnacentral:rRNA from 1 species